GGGAAUCUACCCAACCCUACGGAAUAGCUCCGGGAAACUGGAAUUAAUACCGUAUACGCCCUAUGGGGGAAAGAUUUAUCGGGGAUGGAUGAGCCCGCGUUGGAUUAGCUAGUUGGUGGGGUAAAGGCCUACCAAGGCGACGAUCCAUAGCUGGUCUGAGAGGAUGAUCAGCCACAUUGGGACUGAGACACGGCCCAAACUCCUACGGGAGGCAGCAGUGGGGAAUAUUGGACAAUGGGCGCAAGCCUGAUCCAGCCAUGCCGCGUGAGUGAUGAAGGCCCUAGGGUUGUAAAGCUCUUUCACCGGUGAAGAUAAUGACGGUAACCGGAGAAGAAGCCCCGGCUAACUUCGUGCCAGCAGCCGCGGUAAUACGAAGGGGGCUAGCGUUGUUCGGAAUUACUGGGCGUAAAGCGCACGUAGGCGGAUAUUUAAGUCAGGGGUGAAAUCCCAGAGCUCAACUCUGGAACUGCCUUUGAUACUGGGUAUCUUGAGUAUGGAAGAGGUAAGUGGAAUUCCGAGU
rnacentral:rRNA from 1 species